UACGUAGGGUGCAAGCGUUAAUCGGAAUUACUGGGCGUAAAGCGUGCGCAGGCGGUUGUGCAAGACAGAUGUGAAAUCCCCGGGCUUAACCUGGGAAUUGCAUUUGUGACUGUACGGCUAGAGUGUGUCAGAGGGGGGUAGAAUUCCACGUGUAGCAGUGAAAUGCGUAGAGAUGUGGAGGAAUACCGAUGGCGAAGGCAGCCCCCUGGGGUAACACUGACGCUCAUGCACGAAAGCGUGGGGAGCAAACAGG
rnacentral:rRNA from 1 species